GUACUGUGAAACUGCGAAUGGCUCAUUAAAUCAGUUAUCGUUUAUUUGAUAGUACCUUACUACAUGGAUACCUGUGGUAAUUCUAGAGCUAAUACAUGCUAAAAACCCCGACUUCAGGAAGGGGUGUAUUUAUUAGAUAAAAAACCAACGCCCUUCGGGGCUCCUUGGUGAAUCAUAAUAACUUAACGAAUCGCAUGGCCUUGCGCCGGCGAUGGUUCAUUCAAAUUUCUGCCCUAUCAACUUUCGAUGGUAGGAUAGUGGCCUACCAUGGUGGCAACGGGUAACGGGGAAUUAGGGUUCGAUUCCGGAGAGGGAGCCUGAGAAACGGCUACCACAUCCAAGGAAGGCAGCAGGCGCGCAAAUUACCCAAUCCCGAUACGGGGAGGUAGUGACAAUAAAUACUGAUACGGGGCUCUUUUGGGUCUCGUAAUUGGAAUGAGAACAAUUUAAAUCCCUUAACGAGGAACAAUUGGAGGGCAAGUCUGGUGCCAGCAGCCGCGGUAAUUCCAGCUCCAAUAGCGUAUAUUAAAGUUGUUGCAGUUAAAAAGCUCGUAGUUGAACCUUGGGCCUGGCUGGCCGGUCCGCCUCACCGCGAGUACUGGUCCGGCUGGGCCUUUCCUUCUGGGGAACCUCAUGGCCUUCACUGGCUGUGGGGGGAACCAGGACUUUUACUGUGAAAAAAUUAGAGUGUUCAAAGCAGGCCUUUGCUCGAAUACAUUAGCAUGGAAUAAUAGAAUAGGACGUGUGGUUCUAUUUUGUUGGUUUCUAGGACCGCCGUAAUGAUUAAUAGGGAUAGUCGGGGGCGUCAGUAUUCAGCUGUCAGAGGUGAAAUUCUUGGAUUUGCUGAAGACUAACUACUGCGAAAGCAUUCGCCAAGGAUGUUUUCAUUAAUCAGGGAACGAAAGUUAGGGGAUCGAAGACGAUCAGAUACCGUCGUAGUCUUAACCAUAAACUAUGCCGACUAGGGAUCGGACGGGAUUCUAUAAUGACCCGUUCGGCACCUUACGAGAAAUCA
rnacentral:rRNA from 1 species